AAUGUACAAUACAAAAGGCUCAUCAUAAUUUUAUCACGUAUUGGUGAGUUGCCUAGGUCUGAUUUCUCCCGCCAAACAAUUCCAAUUUGGGGUUUUCUUUCUUUCUCCGGUUAAAUUUCAACAGUUAGUUACAGUUAGUUAUAGAAGAUUGUCACAAUAGUUUCGUCAAACAAUCCCAAAUUAAGGGUUUCGUUCUUUCUCUGCUAAUUUUCAACCGUCAGAUAUGGAAGACGCUUCUCCUCCGUGGACGACCGUGGCUCCGGCGACCUCACUCAUGUCGGAGGUGAUGUGGAAAUGUUUGUCAAGAUAACAGUCCGGGGUCAUGCCGAAUGGGUAUGGGAUGCUUACAUUCCCACAGCGAUCAGCGCAGCCGGGUUUGGCUAUGGGUGCAUUCGCUGGCAAAGCAGUUGGUGCUGAGGAGAAUAUCAACAGCACAAGGGAGAGAAUUUGCACAGGCAUCACAGGCAAACACAUUGCACUCUAGUGGAAGACCAAGUCCACUGCAGUGUGAUAUACGAAAGAGAUAUAAAUGUGUCUGCGCUAAUUUUGGCUGAGGUUCGUUGGAAUAGUUGGUCUUUCUUUUUCCGUGGGUCAAUGUUGUCUGAGUCACUGACAAAGAUAGUAACAUCCUUGACGUGCGGUGUCGGUUAGUGUUAACUUCAUAGAACGAACCAUUCGGUGCAAGUCUAUCAAAUCUUGUGAACAUAAAGAAAAUCUCUCUUGCAAUAUCUUGACUUUGGUUUAGUGAUAUUGUUGUAUAUUUGUAUGGUCGCUCAUUAGCUUAUUUAUUUUUAGUCCAUGUAGUAAUAAUGUUUAUUGCCAAACACCAGUUUUUUUUUUAAGUAAUUCUGUAAAUCAAGUGUUGAUCGCAUAAAGAAAGCGUGUAAAAGGGACAAGUGGUUUGUGAAGUCGUAGCCAAAUUUUGUUUGGGCCUUGAGUGGCGUUGCUAUCCAAUUUUGACUUCUUUUUUUUUAUUUAUUUUUUAUUUUUUUGACUUCCUUUCUCUUGUGGAUCCCAUUGAAUGAUGCAUGUUAGAUGAGAGAAAAGGUUUGGUGGCCGAAAUUUGUAACUUUUUGUUUUUUGCAUGACGAAUGUUUUUGUUUGAUCUUGACUCUAGACAUGUGGUGUGUGUGUUUAUUUUUCUAUAGUAUGCGGGACUAACUUUUUUUCCCUCCGAAUACUCAGGCAAAUUGAUAAUUUGUAACCAUAAUUGUUAUUAGGGUUAAUUACUAUGACACCCCUGAGGUUUGUCAUAUUAACAGUCAUAUACAACUUAGCCCUUUUUUGAACAAAGACAUCAUCUUAGUGAAAAUUUUGAUCCAAACAAGCC